AACGAACGCUGGCGGCGUGCUUAACACAUGCAAGUCGAACGAUGAUGCCCAGCUUGCUGGGUGGAUUAGUGGCGAACGGGUGAGUAACACGUGAGUAACCUGCCCCUGACUCUGGGAUAAGCGUUGGAAACGACGUCUGAUGCUGGAUAUGACUGCCGGCCGCAUGGUCUGGUGGUGGAAAGAUUUUUUGGUUGGGGAUGGACUCGCGGCCUAUCAGCUUGUUGGUGAGGUAAUGGCUCACCAAGGCGACGACGGGUAGCCGGCCUGAGAGGGUGACCGGCCACACUGGGACUGAGACACGGCCCAGACUCCUACGGGAGGCAGCAGUGGGGAAUAUUGCACAAUGGGCGAAAGCCUGAUGCAGCAACGCCGCGUGAGGGAUGACGGCCUUCGGGUUGUAAACCUCUUUUAGUAGGGAAGAAGCGAAAGUGACGGUACCUGCAGAAAAAGCACCGGCUAACUACGUGCCAGCCGCCGCUGUAACAC
rnacentral:rRNA from 1 species